rnacentral:rRNA from 1 species
CAAAAACAUGGCCUUUUGAUUUUAAUUUAAGGUCUAACCUGCCCAAUGAUUUUUUUUUAAAUGGCCGCGGUACUUUGACCGUGCAAAGGUAGCAUAAUCAUUAGUUUUUUAAUUGAAAGCUGGAAUGAAAGGUUGAAUGAGAAAAUAACUGUCUUUUUUAUAUUUCAUUAAAAUUUUAUUUUUAAGUUAAAAAGCUUAAAUUUUAUUUAAAGACGAGAAGACCCUUUAGAGUUUUAUAAAAAUUAUUUUUUUCUCUUUUAAGAAUUAAUAAAAUAAAAAAUUUUAUUUUUAUUUAGUUGGGGCGAUUAAAAAAUUUAAAAAACUUUUUUUUUUAUUUUACAUUAAUUUAUGAUUAUUUGAUCCAUAUUUUUUGAUUAAAAGAAAAAAUUACCUAAGGGAUAACAGCGUUAUUUUUUUUGAGAGUUCAAAUCGAAAAAAAAGAUUGCGACCUCGAUGUUGGAUUAAAAUUAAAUUGUGGUGUAGAGGCU